AUGUCAGAAAGGCACCUUCUGAUCAAUUUCUUAUAUCUUUCCCAAGCUUCAUAGAGGGAUUCACCUUCUUUCUGUCUGAAGGUUUAGACGUCCACUCUAAACUU